rnacentral:rRNA from 1 species
UGUUUGCUCCACGCUGGCGCGCGCCUGUGCCUCUGAUAUACAUGCAAGUCGAGCGCGCAACUGGAUUAAGAGCUUGCUCUCUAUGAAGUUAGCGGCGGUACGGGUGAGUAACACGUGGGUAACCUGCCCAUAAGACUGGGAUAACUCCGGGAAACCGGGGCUAAUACCGGAUAACAUUUUGAACCGCUAUGGUUCGAAAUGUGAAAGGCGGCUUCGGCUGUCACUUAUGGAAGGACCCGCGUGCGCAUUACGCCUAGUUGGUGAGGAUAACGGCUCACCAAGGCAACGUAUGACCGUAGCCGACCUGAGAGGUAGUGAUCCGUGCCACCCUGGGACUGUACCGACACGGCGCCAGACUCCUACGGGAGGCAGCAGUAGGGAAUCUUCCGCAAUGGACGAAAGUCUGACGGAGCAACGCCGCGUGA